ensembl:antisense Gm12853 predicted gene 12853
GCAUCUCCCUCCCCUCUCCUGCUACUCCUCCAUCCUUGUCCCUACUCCCCCCAACAGCCCUGUUGAAUAGUUCCCUUCUCUCUAGUCCCCACCCUCAGCCAUACCAGGUGAGCCACCAAUCUCAUCGUGGGGAAAGGUUCCCCUACUGCUACCAGCAUUCAGAAGUUCCAGGGCUGUGGGCACCUGGAAACUUGACCUUACAAGGACUGCAGAACCAUGGAGCCAAUACUGAGUGCCUCUCCGUUGACGUCCGUGCUGCCUGGGUCUCGGCAGCUGAUCCUAACUGAGCAGGAACCCAGAGAGUUCUAGAGAAGUCAGCCCCCUAAGGACACCAGUAUUUCUCGGUUCACAGGGGUGGCCUGGAAGGACCCAGAGUAAAGCCCUAGCUCUUGGGUGGAAAGAAUACACGUGGACAUGUUGCGU